GUUUGGGAGAGUUCUGAAAAUUCUAACAAGCCUUCUUUGUUUAUCUUCUCUAGGCUUCCGCAGCCGGUCUGCAUGUAGUUGGGAUAAAUUCAGCCCAGGAGGAAAAUCAGCGCUGCCUCCCCCUCUCUCCUCCCAUUUUAGGUGAGAGGAGGAGGUGCCGUGGGGGUAGAGAAAGAUCUGGAGAGCUCGCCAGCUGGUCUAGAAGUUUCCCUUCUGCAUAUACGGAAUCAAUCCAUGGUUGGUAGGGCCAGUGCACUUGGACGCUCGAGUGUGUAUCUGAGUAAGGACUGCAUAGAUGCUACCUCAGGAGCAAGAGGGUAGAUCCGUAAAGACAGAGCUGGGGACCUAUAGACCAUGCAGAUUGAAGUGUCCUGCAACCAGCUUUGCCAGCUGUGAGCUGUACAUGUCAAGAGGCCGAGACCAUCAGAGCGAUCGAGCUCAGCUGAUUACAGAUGUGUUUUAUUAUUGUAUGCUAAAACUCUGGCUAUAUUAGUGUUAAUUACUAUUAAAAACUGUGGCCCUGGGUCUUUCCUGUAGG
ensembl:antisense Chn1os3 chimerin 1, opposite strand 3